rnacentral:lncRNA from 1 species
AAUUCAGGAGGAUAUGCUUAUCCAUAUCAAAAUUCAGGAGGAUAUGCUUAUCCAUAUCAAAAUUCAGAAGGGUUAAUGCCAAAAUCAGGUAUACUUUUACAAUAUAUUCCAUCGUAUAUCAUGAAUUAAAUUAUGAUUCAUUAAUUUUUAAGUAAUAUCAGUUCGAUUUUGUAUGUAAUUUUGUAUUGAGAAUGCUUAAACGCUUGUAGAAUACAAUGCGGUAAAAAACUAUCACGAUGCGGUUCAGUCUGCGAUCAAAUACCACCAUGAUGCGACCAGAGACUACAACGUCGCGACCAAAAACUACUACAUAUCGAUCGCGAAAUCUCACGCGGUUGCCGGGAACUCCCAUGCGGAUGCCGGGCACUACCAGGUUGCGGCGGAGGAGUACCGUACUGCCGCCGACGCUUACGCUCAGGCGGCGGAACUCUUUAAGAACGGGCAGCACUGGUAUUUUUUAGGAUAUUUAUUGGAAUGUUGUGACUCAAACAACAUUAAGUUGAAAGAAUCAAAAUGGUUAAAUAAAAAUAUAUUCAUAUUCUAUUUUUUAGGAGAAUUUUAAGUAUUAUUUAAAUUAAUUAAUUUAAUAUAUAUUUUUUAAAAAUUAAUUACAAAUUAUGUAAUAUAAAUAUUUAUGUUUAUGUUCAAUAAAAGAUAUCAGUUUCCCUUUUAUUCUUUUGCCUCUUAUACGUUAAAACCAACAAUAUUUAUAAGCAUUUGUGACUUUUACAUGUUUAGUUCUCUAUUCAUACUUUUUUUUUUUUUUUUUUUUCAUAUAAGUCUGUAAUUCUACUAUUUUUAUUAUGUUCUGUUUGAUUUUCAAAUUUUCUUUUGGUUUUAUAUUCGUAUUUGGUAGACUUACUUAUCAAGUCUUCGAGAGCGCAUAUCAGGAUAUGCAGGAAGAGAAUCGGUUUUAUUUGGCAAAGAAAAAAUUCGUCUUUUAAUUCUUUCCAAAAUGAUGCCAACACUCUUUUAUUGUUGGAAUUUAUUAAAUUUUUUUAAUAUUUUUUAUGGGUUGAUAAAUAUGAGAGUUUCUGUUUCUAUUAAGUUAGAGAAAAAACAGUUUGUGAACAGAUAUAACUCAUAUUGGCACAUUAGAAGUUUUAUUAAAUUAAAGAAAAUAAGAAAAAAAUUACAGAAUUAAUUUUUAUUUUAUUAAUUUAAAAUUAUAAUAAAUUUAAGUAUUUUUAAUUAAAUUUUGCACUUUUAUGGAAACAAAAUAAACUAAAAUAAAAUAUCUGUCACAUUGUUCGGUUAAGAUAAAAGUUAAAUUUUAAUUAAAAAUUGUAAAAUUUUUUAUUAUUAUAUAAAUAUAAAUAAUUUAAUAAAUAAUUAAUCAAAAAAAUAUUUUAAUUUAUUAACGAAUCGAUAUAGUUUUUAUUUGUCUUUUAAGAAAAAAAAAAAAACUUUCUUUUUACCUGGAUUACAUUUAAUUUUGUAUAUUUUCCUACUUUUUACUACUGUAUUUAAUUUUUUUUAAAUAUUAAGAAACAAUAAAUUCACUCAAUUCAAAAUAAAAUAUUCACUUAAUCUGAAAAAUAAAUUAUGAUUAGGGUUACGAAGUCAGCCUACAAUACUGAGAGGUCAUUGGUUUAAAUUUCACUUUUUUUUAAGAUGCAAUUUAAAUUAAAAUCUAUUUUAGUAAUACAUGCAAUGAGGCAAUAACAAAAUGAAGUUGUUUUGGUGGUAAGAGCAACAUAGGAGAACAUGUAAUUGAUUUCAUUGCAAUAGAUAAUACAUUUGAGCCUAUAGAAUAGUAAACUGAUUUCAUUGCUUGAGAGUUGAUUUUGGAACGCAUUGAAUGAUGGAUGAAUUAAUUUUGGUUUGAAGGAAACUAAUUCUCUCCCUUUGAAACCGAUUAUGGGUGCCUCAACAUUUUUUUAAAAUUAAUUUCAACUCAUCAAAUUUUUACCUUGUAUUACUUUUAAUCAUAAAGACAAAUGUGUAAUAUUUAAUGUUUAUUUAUUUUUUUAUUUAUCACAUCCAAUCUUUCACAAACUUUUAGAAAUUUUUUCUUCAAAUGGAUUCACUUUCAUAUCUCCAUCCUAUAAAAUAAACAAUAUUACAAUUCAUUUCCUAUUUUUUCAAAAUUUAUUCAUUCACUUGUAACAUUUCAUUUGAUAAAGUAUUUAUAUGAUUGAUAUAACACUCUACUAUAUUUAAUAUUUGAGUUUUUUAGAGUCUUACACCUUCAAAUUCAUCCCUCAAAAAGUAAUUCUGAACCUAAUAUAAUUAAGACUUAAUAUAUCUGAUGGUCCCUAUUUUCGUAAGGUUUGUUCCAUUUGGUCCUAUUUUUUGUGUGUUUAAUGUUGUCCUAAAGAAUGUAAUUUAUGUUCAAUUUAGUCUUUUUUGUAGACGCUGUUUAAAUAGUUAACGACAGACAAUUCAAGUAUGCAAUCAGCGAAUUGACAUGUCAUUUAAUGGAUGACAUGGACAAAAGGUAUACUGAUGUGGAUUUUUGUUUUUUGAAAGUGAUUUUUUGAUAUUAGGGUUUUUAUUGAAUUGAUGACAACCCUUGUCUCGGGUCUGAACAGGAUCAUCGCAAGUCUCCCUGGCUG